rnacentral:rRNA from 1 species
GGCUGAAACUCGCCUACAUGAAGCUGGAAUUGCUAGUAAUCACAGGUCAGCAUACUGUGGUGAAUACGUUCCCGGGCCUUGUACACACCGCCCGUCACACCAUGAGAGUUGAGAAUACCCGAAGCCCAUGUCAAAGUGGUCGAAGGUAGGCUUGAUGAUUGGGUGAAGUCGUAACAAGGUAAC